rnacentral:rRNA from 1 species
UACAAGUACCGUGGGGAAAGUUGCAAAGCACUUUGAAGAGAGAGUUAAAGAGGACGUGAAACCGAUGAGAUGGAAACGGAUAGAGUCAGCGUAUCUGGCUUGUAUUCAGCCAUCUGGCUAUCGGUGACUGGAUGUUGCUUUCCAGACUGGAACAGCGUUUUGCCACUCGGUGGCUAUGUGGUGCAUUUACAAGUGGAGUGCGUCGAGGCGCUCGGGGUGGCAAUGUGAACUAAGUUUUGAGGCCAGCUUGCUGGUACCCGGACUGUGGGAACGUUGUUCGUUCUGAGUGUAAGGCAAGGCAUACGGGCCCGGUUGGGUUCCGAGCUGGCAGUCGGUGGCGGUCGCAUGCGACACGUACUGUGCGGUUAGUUCGGUCCUAGCCGAGCUCACAAGCCGUUUCUCGGCGUAAAAGCUGGUCAUCUAUCCGACCCGUCUUGAAACACGGACCAAGGAGUUUAUCGUGUGCGCAAGUCAUUGGGCGUUCAAAACCCAAAGGCGCAAUGAAAGUGAAUGUAUCCGCAAGGAGCAGACGUGCGAUCCUGGGCAUCUCGGUGCCUGGGCGCAACAUGGCCCCAUCCCGAUUGCUUGCAAUGGGGUGGAGGAAGAGCGUACGCGGUGAGACCCGAAAGAUGGUGAACUAUUCCUGAGCAGGAUGAAGCCAGAGGAAACUCUGGUGGAAGUCCGAAGCGAUUCUGACGUGCAAAUCGAUCGUCUGACUUGGGUAUAGGGGCGAAAGACUAAUCGAACCAUCUAGUAGCUGGUUCCUUCCGA